rnacentral:rRNA from 1 species
CCUUUUGUAUAAUGGGUCAGCGACUUAUAUUCUGUAGCAAGGUUAACCGAAUAGGGGAGCCGAAGGGAAACCGAGUCUUAACUGGGCGUUAAGUUGCAGGGUAUAGACCCGAAACCCGGUGAUCUAGCCAUGGGCAGGUUGAAGGUUGGGUAACACUAACUGGAGGACCGAACCGACUAAUGUUGAAAAAUUAGCGGAUGACUUGUGGCUGGGGGUGAAAGGCCAAUCAAACCGGGAGAUAGCUGGUUCUCCCCGAAAGCUAUUUAGGUAGCGCCUCGUGAACUCAUCUCCGGGGGUAGAGCACUGUUUCGGCAAGGGGGUCAUCCCGACUUACCAACCCGAUGCAAACUGCGAAUACCGGAGAAUGUUAUCACGGGAGACACACGGCGGGUGCUAACGUCCGUCGUGAAGAGGGAAACAACCCAGACCGCCAGCUAAGGUCCCAAAGUCAUGGUUAAGUGGGAAACGAUGUGGGAAGGCCCAGACAGCCAGGAUGUUGGCUUAGAAGCAGCCAUCAUUUAAAGAAAGCGUAAUAGCUCACUGGUCGAGUCGGCCUGCGCGGAAGAUGUAACGGGGCUAAACCAUGCACCGAAGCUGCGGCAGCGACGCUUAUGCGUUGUUGGGUAGGGGAGCGUUCUGUAAGCCUGUGAAGGUGUGCUGUGAGG